rnacentral:rRNA from 1 species
UGGGGAAUCUUGGACAAUGGGCGCAAGCCUGAUCCAGCAAUGCCGCGUGCGUGAAGAAGGCCUUCGGGUUGUAAAGCGCUUUUGUCUGGGAGCAAAUCCUUGUGGCUAAUACCCACCGGGGAUGAGAGUACCAGAAGAAUAAGGACCGGCUAACUACGUGCCAGCAGCCGCGGUAAUACGUAGGGUCCAAGCGUUAAUCGGAAUUACUGGGCGUAAAGCGUGCGCAGGUGGUUCGUUAAGAGUGAUGUGAAAUCCCCGGGCUUAACCUGGGAAUUGCAUUGCUAACUGGCGAACUAGAGUACGGGAGAGGGGGGUGGAAUUCCGCGUGUAGCAGUGAAAUGCGUAGAGAUGCGGAGGAACACCGAUGGCGAAGGCAGCCCCCUGGCCUGCUACUGACACU